rnacentral:rRNA from 1 species
UACGUAGGGUGCAAGCGUUGUCCGGAAUUAUUGGGCGUAAAGAGCUCGUAGGCGGUUCGUCGCGUCGGCUGUGAAAACCCGGAGCUCAACUCCGGGCCUGCAGUCGAUACGGGCGGACUUGAGUGUUGCAGGGGAGACUGGAAUUCCUGGUGUAGCGGUGAAAUGCGCAGAUAUCAGGAGGAACACCGGUGGCGAAGGCGGGUCUCUGGACAACUACUGACGCUGAGGAGCGAAAGCGUGGGGAGCGAACAGG